UAAUGAGUGCCUCAUCUACUAAGUCGUGCUGUGAUCACAUUAGGCAAGUAUAACGUUCCAGUCAAGAAAAAGCUGAUGAUUGGGGAAGCCAGCUACCAUAUCGAACAGCUGUAUGAAGCCUGUGUGGUAAGGAAAUGAGGCUCCUGAUAAGAGGCAGCAGGAACUGAGGCCCUUGCCAAAAGUCAUUGGAUUGAGCCAUCUUGGAAGCAGAUCUUCUAUCCCUAAUCAACACUUCAGAUGACUGCAGCCCUGGAGGCCAGAUUAACUGCAACCUCAAGAAAGUCCCUAAGCCAGGACCAGCCAGCCGAGCUACUCCUAUAUUCAUUGACCCUCAGAAAUUGUGUGAGAUAAUAAACACUUUUUAUUUUAAGUUGCUAAGAGUUGGAGUAAUUUGUUACAUAGCAAUAGAUACAGGGAUUUUGGCCAAAAGAAAGACUAAUAACACCUGGUUGAAGAGAGAGUCAUUAAGAGUUGACAUUGUCCAUGGAUACUUCUUGAGAGCAGGAGUUUCUUCUUCACCUUGACUUCUUCCAACCCACUCGGAUUGGGCCUGUGUGUAGUGCACUCUUAGUAAAUAUCUAUUGAGUUAUUGAGGGAAGAAGACCAGCCGUAAAUACCGUGAAAGUAAAAGAAGCCUAACCAUGGGUAUAAGAGGAGGGUUGGGCCAAAUAGGAGCUUCAUGUAGAGCACAUGUCCAGAGAGAUCAACCAUCCUGGUUUGCCCUGAACUGAGGGGUUUCCUUAAAUGUGGGUUGUUUAGUGCUAAAACUGGGAUAGUAAGAGGACAAAAGGAACUCAUCUAAGAAAAACAGAGUAAGUUAAAGGGAUAAACUAAUGAAAGACAGCCUAUUAUUUCUUUGAAUAUGGUAGGGUUUCUUCAUGCAUUUGUUCAGCACAUAUUAUUUUGAUUCUAUUAUAUGCUAAGUUCUGUAGGUACAAAAUGAAUUAUAAUCUCUGGCUUGAAAGAGCACAGAUAUAAAGUUGUCCUGAUUAUAUAAGAAUACAUUUGCCCUCCCUGGUAAAAUGCAAUUUCUUUCUAAAAACUUUUGAAAAGAUAUUGUUUCUGUAACUCUUUUUUUUCUACAAAUCUAGUUUUAAAUGAUGGCUGUAAAU
rnacentral:lncRNA from 10 species